rnacentral:rRNA from 1 species
UGCAACAGAAGUAGGUAGCUUAACCUUCGGGAGGGCGCUUACCACUUUGUGAUUCAUGACUGGGGUGAAGUCGUAACAAGGUAACCGUAGGGGAACCUGCGGUUGGAUCACCUCCUUACCUUAAAGAAGC